rnacentral:rRNA from 1 species
UACGUAGGGGGCAAGCGUUGUCCGGAUUUACUGGGCGUAAAGAGCGUGUAGGCGGCCAAGCAGGUCCGUUGUGAAAACUGGAGGCUUAACCUCCAGACGUCGACGGAAACCGCGCGGCUAGAGUCCGGAAGAGGGGGGCGGAAUUCCCAGUGUAGCGGUGAAAUGCGUAGAUAUUGGGAGGAACACCAGUGGCGAAGGCGGUCCCCUGGGCCGGAACUGACGCUGAGGCGCGAAAGCGUGGGUAGCAAACGGG